AGGAGAGCAUGGACUUAAUCUUCAAGUCAAGUGAGCCACAUGCUUUCCGGACUGAUUUCGUGGCCAAAAAAAGUGAAAGAGCGCCGGGCUGUGAUCCUGUGAGAGGCACACAUCCUCCCCCCAGGCUCCAUUUCAGGACCUUCGGACCAGCCUGACUACAAGUGCACUGUUCCAUGCUCGACUGCUGCCAUGGAAAUGCCCUGCAAAUGGGCGUGGGAGUGUGAGUCACAUGGUCACCAAAAGGAUGCGGAUUACCGGAAAAAGUGCAAUCGACAUGAAAAACACCCUCUUUUACUCUUUUAUGAGACUUUUAUAGCUUAUAUUCUACAUAUCUGUCUAGAGAAAGUGUUUUUGUCUUGUGCAGAUGAACCUCAAUAACAGAUGAGACUACAUGUAGAAACCAGACAGCAAAACCCAGAGCCACAUAAACUCGUGUUUAGACAUUAAGGGGAACAUCUGCUGCUCUCUCUGGUGUCCUUCAUACAUUUUUGCAAAGAUUGCAUAAUUGAGAUUUUUCCAAAGCAUCAGAUAAAGAUGAAGAACUGCAAUACAACAUUCCUAGGCAGAAAGUUGGCCACAACAGCCUUACUUAUGUGGUAUUGCAUCAGAAGGGGUCCCUGGGUAUAUCCCUUUCAAAGAUCAUGGAAAAGUAAUGUGCCCCCCCCCCCUUUCUGCACACAAGAGGCCCCCAGCAUCAAGCAAGAGGCCAAGUUGUUUCCCUGGAAUUCUUUAGGCAUGUGCUGAUGUCUUUGCAACUCAAAAAGCAUGAGAAACCAACAUUUCUUUAAAACUGAAAUUCUAUUACGGAGCCAAAUCCACUGUUUAUAAUGUUGCCAUUCAGAAAGGACAUGCAUAUAUCACAACAAGUCACAGCUUCGUGAUAUAGUCAAGAAAACAACUCUCACAAGGGUAAGAAAAGGAGUCUGGGAAAAUGCCUCAGAGAAAAGCAACAGAUGGCGGGUAGAGAACAAAAACCACAUUCCUGAGUGAACACACAUGUGCAAACCCUCACAUGCACAUCUUUACUGAAGAAGGAUCCUUGGGUCUGAAUCUGUCCUGCGAUGCACUCGGCUACAGCGGGGGUGGAGUUCAGACUAUCCCACUUGUAAAACAACGGCUGCAAAAUGUACAAAAUGUCUGGAAUUCACCAGUGUCUCACAUCGUUCACUUGCCCGAACAAAUCAGUGUGCACACGUGUGGAAGUCAGGACUCAGCUUCACUCACACACUAUCUUUCAUUUUUCUUUUUCUUUCGUUCUCAUACAACCGACAAUGUUUCAUUCCUGAAGGCAAUCCUCUGUUGACUAAUAACCACAAAUGUCCUCAUCAAGUUAAUGUCAUCAGUAAGUUAUGGAAAAGUGCCACAAAAAUGCAGAAUUAAGCCGCCAAGGGAUGACACAACUCAACUAGGUGUUCCUUACGAAGGCUAUACGCACAUGUAUUGGUUACGAUGUGUGUUAUUUGAUGUGGAAAUGGUGUUUUCCACAUGAUGAUGUUUUUGUUAUUUGGGUUGCCUAGAUUUUAAAAACACAGAACUAGGGAAAAACAAUUCUUUACAUGGGUACAAAUCUGCCUUUUGUCAGAGGAAAACAACUCUUACAAAGCAAAUUGAUUAAGUAGUGUACAUAGUAAACACCGUAAUCUGCAUUUGAGUCAGAUAAUUGACCUUUGUACCACUUUUGCUCUGUUUAUGCUGUUUUCAAAGUCAGGCAUCUGGUCAAGUUCAAGGCUGCUGCACUUGAGUGACAGAAGGGAGCAGGUUAAGCAGAAAGCAGACAUGUUGUUGCCCUUGACAGUCUGAUACACUCCUCUGAGAAAGCUCUUGCAUUUUUCUCAGGGAGGAGGGGAGAUUUCUCCACAGACUGCUGCGCUCUGCUCUCUGCUCUUUCUCCAGCGCAGCACAUUUGGUGGGAUAUUAUGUGAAGGAAAUGGAGAGCAUAGCUGAGCAGUGAGUCAUGCUGUUUACUGGUAAAAGCGACGACCAGCGGCAGGGAAUCACACCCUCUCCAUCUGACGUUUCCUGGAAAAUCCCGUUGUUUCAAAGGAGGAAGGAAAAGUACAGAGAACCUUUGAAAUAACUGGCUUUAACACCAGAACAGUUGUGUGGAAAAGGGAGGAGAACUCGCAAAAAUAUCUGAGCAAAGAAACUCUCCCAACCAAGGACGUUGGGAGUAAAAAAAAUGUCAAGAAUGCACAAAAAACAAGGACGUAGCUGUCCAAAACGACCUGGAAACCAACAAUGUGUGAAUAAUAGGAAAGUAUUAGAGCUGUAUCAGAUCACAUCCCUUACUCCCCAAAAAUAUAAAU